rnacentral:lncRNA from 10 species
UGCAGAACAGGGGAGGUCUUGUUCCCCGGCUAGGGCUCCGCCUUCGGGGACCUAGGUGAGGACAGGCAUUUCCUGCCCAAAUGUUGCAUUUCCCAAGACCACCCUGGCCCACCACGCCCCCAUCCUGGGCCUAUAAAAACCCAAGACCCUGGCGGGAAGACACAGAAGUGGUUGGGCGUCGUGAGGAACGCAUCGGCGGCAGAACACUCAAGCGGCUGGUUGUUGAGAGCACGCCAGCUGAAGAGCACCCCUGCACACUGGCAGGCCAUCCACAGGUGUCAGAAACUCAGCUCAGCUGGAAGAAACUUGAUGUACCAGGUAUCAGAGUAGCAAGUAAAGCCACAAGCCAAAAAUGAAAGAGAAUCUUUUAAGUGCUUAUCGUGAUGGUGUAAGUAAUUGUCCAAAAGAAACGCCGAUUCCUUCUGUUCCAUUUUUACCUGUGGAUUGUGGAUUGAAAUAACCAUUGGACCAUGAGGAGAGACUCUGAAGAGAGGCUAGUGAUAUGUGAUAUAAUACUCUUUUGUGACGUUGGACCAUGGCAGUGAGCCGCAGCUCCCAGUCAGCAAUGCGAUCCCAAGAAUAAACAACCGAUUCUUGACAGUGUCCUAUGUUGCCAGUCGAUUUUGUUCAACAGUAGGUACAUGCAAGUACACCCCACUCCCAAAUUAAAAAGAUUGACCUUAGCCAAACAUAACACGAUCACCUGUAGACCCAAAACAACUUCAAAUAGCCAUUUCCUUCACUGCUGUGAGCAGAUGUAGACAGAUAAGGAAAUGAAGGCACAAAGAAGUCAAGUGCUUUUCCAAUGCCAGAGAAGUAAGAGGUAAGUUAUUAUACUCUCUGCCCUUCUGGAAUUGUUGGAUAGGAUUCCUUGGCUCCACAGAGCUGGU